rnacentral:rRNA from 1 species
GACGAACGCUGGCGGCGUGCUUAACACAUGCAAGUCGAACGGAGUGGCGAACGGGUGAGUAACACGUGGGUGAUCUGCCUUGCACUUCGGGAUAAGCUUGGGAAACUGGGUCUAAUACCGGAUAGUGCAAGAUGAGUGCGCGGCCUAUCAGCUUGUGGGUGGGGUAAUGGCCUACGAAGGCGUCGCCGGGUAGCCGGCCUGAGAGGGUGUACGGCCACAUUGGGACUGAGGUACGGCCCAGACGCCUACGGGGGGCAGCGGGGGGGAAUAUUGCACAAUGGGCGGAAGCGGGAUGCAGCGACGCCGCGUGGGGGAAGAAGGCUUUCGGGUUGUAAACUCCUUUCGACAGGGACGCGGUACCUGUAUAAGAAGCACCGGCUAACUACGUGCCAGCAGCCGCGGUAAUUC